rnacentral:rRNA from 1 species
CCUACGGGGGGCUGCAGUGGGGAAUAUUGGACAAUGGGGGGAACCCUGAUCCAGCCAUGCCGCGUGUGUGAAGAAGGCCCUCGGGGUGUAAAGCACUUUCAGUGAGGAAGAACGCCUGGUGGUUAAUACCCAUCAGGAAAGACAUCACUCACAGAAGAAGCACCGGCUAACUCCGUGCCAGCAGCCGCGGUAAUACGGAGGGUGCGAGCGUUAAUCGGAAUUACUGGGCGUAAAGCGCGCGUAGGUGGCUUGAUAAGCCGGUUGUGAAAGCCCCGGGCUCAACCUGGGAACGGCAUCCGGAACUGUCAAGCUAGAGUGCAGGAGAGGAAGGUAGAAUUCCCGGUGUAGCGGUGAAAUGCGUAGAGAUCGGGAGGAAUACCAGUGGCGAAGGCGGCCUUCUGGACUGACACUGACACUGAGGUGCGAAAGCGUGGGUAGCAAACAGGAUUAGAUACCCGAGUAGUC